rnacentral:rRNA from 1 species
UACGUAGGGCGCAAGCGUUGUCCGGAUUUAUUGGGCGUAAAGGGCUCGUAGGCGGUCUGUCACGUCGGAUGUGAAAACUCAGUGCUUAACACUGGGCCUGCAUUCGAUACGGGCAGACUAGAGUUCGGUAGGGGAGACUGGAACUCCUGGUGUAGCGGUGGAAUGCGCAGAUAUCAGGAAGAACACCGAUGGCGAAGGCAGGUCUCUGGGCCGAUACUGACGCUGAGGAGCGAAAGCGUGGGGAGCGAACAGG